rnacentral:rRNA from 1 species
GAGUUUGAUCCUGGCUCAGGACGAACGCUGGCGGCGUGCCUAACACAUGCAAGUCGAGCGAGAAUUAUUGGAUUGGAGACUUCGGUCAAAGAAAAGGUAAUGAAAGCGGCGGACGGGUGAGUAACGCGUGGGCAACCUGCCCCAUACAAAGGGAUAGCCACUGGAAACGGUGAUUAAUACCUUAUAAGUCGGUAGUCUCGCAUGAGAGAGCCGACAAAGAUUAAUCGGUAUGGGAUGGGCCCGCGUUUGAUUAGCUAGUUGGUGAGGUAACGGCUCACCAAGGCGACGAUGCGUAGCCGACCUGAGAGGGUGAUCGGCCACACUGGAACUGAGACAC